AGAUAGAUAGGUUUGGUCCUGGUCUUUACACAUGCAAGCAUCCCCACCCCAGUGAAAAAUGCCCUCUACAUCACCCGGAUCAAAAGGAGCAAGUAUCAAGCAUGCACAAAUGCAGCUCAAAAUACUUUGCUCAUCCACACCCCCAUGGGAAACAGCAGUGAUAAAUAUUUAGUAAUAAACGAACGUUUAAGCUAUGCUGAUAUAUAUGGUUGGUCAAUUUCGUGCCAACCACCGUGGCCAUACAAUUAACCCAAGCUAAGAGAACUCGGCGUAAAGAGUGUUUAAGAUCUGCCCUCAAUAAAGCUAAACUCCAUUUAAGUUGUAAAAAACUUAGGCUGAAAUAAAACAUACUACGAAUGUGGCUUUAAUAUCCUGAAGACACGACAGCUAAGAUCCAAACUGGGGUUAGAUACCCCACUAUGCUUAGCCCUAAACUAUAAUAGUUAGUUAUAUUAACAAAACCAUUCGCCAGAAUACUAGAAGCAAUAGCUUAAAACUCAAAGGACUUGGCGGUGCUUUAUAUCCCUCUAGGGGAGCCUGUUCUAUAAUCUAUAAACCCUGAUCUACCUCACCACCUCUUGCCCCCAGCCUAUAUACCGCCAUCUUCAGCAAACCCUAAAAAGGUUAUAGAGUAAGCACAAGUAAUACACAUAAAAACAUUAGGUCAAGGUGUAGCUCAUGAGGUGGGAAGAAAUAGGCUACAUUUUCUAUACCCAGAAAAUCUCACGAGAACCUUUAUGAAAUCUAAAGACUCAAGCGGGAUUUAGCAGUAAACCAAGAGUAGAGUGCUUGGUUGAAUAAGGCCAUGAAGCACACACACACUGCCUGUCACCUUUCCAAAUACUAUUCUAGAAAUCCUUAUUACUAAAAUCUCUCUACACACGUAUAGAGGAGAUAAGUUGUAACAUGGUAAGCAUACUGGAAAGUGCAUUUGGACAAACCAAAGU
rnacentral:ncRNA from 1 species